rnacentral:tRNA from 1 species
ACCUGGGUGGCUCAGUCGGUUGAGCGUCCGAUUUCGGCUCAGGUCAUGAUCUCGCAGCUCGUGGGUUCGAGCCCCAUGUCAGGUU